rnacentral:rRNA from 1 species
UCAUUUAGAGGAAGUAAAAGUCGUAACAAGGUCUCCGUAGGUGAACCUGCGGAGGGAUCAUUACACAAUUAAAAUAUGAAGGCCCUUCAAACUGGCUGGAUUAUUUUUAUCACCCUUGUCUUUUGCGCACUUGUUGUUUCCUGGGCGGGUUCGCCCGCCACCAGGACCACACCAUAAACCUUUUUUAUGCAGUUGCAAUCAGCGUCAGUAUAACAAAUGUAAAUCAUUUACAACUUUCAACAACGGAUCUCUUGGUUCUGGCAUCGAUGAAGAACGCAGCGAAAUGCGAUACGUAGUGUGAAUUGCAGAAUUCAGUGAAUCAUCGAAUCUUUGAACGCACAUUGCGCCCUUUGGUAUUCCAAAGGGCAUGCCUGUUCGAGCGUCAUUUGUACCUUCAAGCUUUGCUUGGUGUUGGGCGUCUUUUUGUCUUUGGCCUCGCCCAAAGACUCGCCUUAAAACGAUUGGCAGCCGGCCUACUGGUUUCGCAGCGCAGCACAUUUUUGCGCUUGCAAUCAGCAAAAAGGACGGCAAUCCAUCAAGACUACAUUUUUACGUUUGACCUCGGAUCAGGUAGGGAUACCCGCUGAACUUAAGCAUAUCAAUAAG